rnacentral:rRNA from 1 species
UACGUAGGGUGCAAGCGUUGUCCGGCAUUAUUGGGCGUAAAGAGCUCGUAGGCGGUUUGUCGCGUCUGCUGUGAAAACCCGAGGCUCAACCUCGGGCCUGCAGUGGGUACGGGCAGACUAGAGUGCGGUAGGGGAGAUUGGAAUUCCUGGUGUAGCGGUGGAAUGCGCAGAUAUCAGGAGGAACACCGAUGGCGAAGGCAGGUCUCUGGGCCACUACUGACGCUGAGAAGCGAAAGCAUGGGGAGCGAACAGG